GACGAACGCUGGCGGCGUGCUUAACACAUGCAAGUCGAGCGGUAAGGCCCUUUCGGGGGUACACGAGCGGCGAACGGGUGAGUAACACGUGGGUGACCUGCCCUCAGCUCUGGGGUAAGCCUGGGAAACCGGGUCUAAUACUGGAUAUGACUCCAUGACGCAUGUUGUGGGGUGGAAAGCCUUGUGCGGCUGAGGAUGGGCCCGCGGCCUAUCAGCUUGUUGGUGGGGUGAUGGCCUACCAAGGCGACGACGGGUAGCCGGCCUGAGAGGGCGACCGGCCACACUGGGACUGAGACACGGCCCAGACUCCUACGGGAGGCAGCAGUGGGGAAUCUUGCGCAAUGGGCGGAAGCCUGACGCAGCAACACCGUGUGUGUGAGGAAGGCCCUCGGGUCGUAAAGCACUGUUGUGGGGACGAAGGGCGAAGGGUUAAUAGCCCCUAGCUUGACGGUACCCUUCGAGGAAGCCCCGGCUAACUACGUGCCAGCAGCCGCCGUAA
rnacentral:rRNA from 1 species